CACAGAUCGGGUCGAGUGCCACGUGCUUUGUACGGACCUGCCGUAGGACCGUGAUGGCCGCGUGUCAAGACAUCGUGAUGCAUUCCAUACCUGCAGAGAGAUUUCAGCUUGCUCCCCUACCUACAUGACAGUGGAGUUGCUGAAAUGGUGGCCACCAGUAAUGUGCGUCAUUGUGCAGAGAGAUGGCAGCUUGGUCUCCUACUUGCCCACUUAACGGGGGAGUUGCCAAAAUGGUGCCCAGCAGUCAUUGUGAAACCUUCUGUUGGGGUUCAGCAUCUCUCAAUUUGAGCGAAUUAUUGUAUUUGAGCUACACCUUGGGUGCCCACUUCAUCAGAUGGUCUAGUACAGAGCCCAGCAGUGCAGGUAUCGGUGGCAGCAAAAGCAGGUGAGUCCAGGGAGGUGCAUCGAUUUUGCGGUCAAUAAAAGAAAAAGUUUC